UACGGAGGGGGCUAGCGUUGUUCGGAAUUACUGGGCGUAAAGCGUGCGUAGACGGUUAUUUAAGUCAGGUGUGAAAGCCCCGGGCUCAACCUGGGAAUUGCAUUUGAGACUGAAUAGCUAGGGUGCGGAAGAGGGAAGCGGAAUUUCCGGUGUAGCGGUGAAAUGCGUAGAUAUCGGAAGGAACACCAGUGGCGAAAGCGGCUUCCUGGUCCAGCACCGACGUUCAGGCACGAAAGCGUGGGGAGCAAACAGG
rnacentral:rRNA from 1 species